rnacentral:misc_RNA from 1 species
AAUUGUAACGAAUAUGGUAUAAUUAAUUGGAACUAGAAAUAUGUAUCUACUAUACAUUGCAAUAUUAUCAGAAUUAUUUUCUUCUUUGUAAACUCACCGUGCUCAUUGUGUAACGAAAUUUAUUAUUAUCGAUCACUGAAAUUUCGCUCUUUUUUCCAAAAAAGUAGAAUAAGGCGAAUAAGGCAAAACGGUGCCGCAAUGCGGUAUAUUCUUACAGGUAAUAAAAUAGGAAAAGUUUUUCCGAGUUUUCAUAAACGCAAUACUAAUGUAGAAAUCUGGCGAAUAAUUCAUAAAUAUCUUGUAAGAGGAAUGCAAAAGUUAACUGUUUUAAAUUUAGAGGUUUCGUAGUUUUUUUGGAUCAAUACCCUCUUUCAAAUCUGUAUACGCAUUGAAAUAUAAUACAUAUGUCUGUGUACGUGUUGAAUAAUAGUAGAUAACUGUCGUCCUUCGGUACACAUUUUCUAAUCCGUUUCUGUUUCAAAUUAUCGCUUAAACUACCUACGAUCUUUUUAGAAUAUUAUACACUUUUUUAUUUUACAAUGAUUAGAAAGUACAUAUUCCGAAAUAAUUACAUAAAUGCACGUAUCAGAGAAAAAAACUUAUAAAAUUGAAAGAAUAUCUUUAACUUCUAUCACUUUCAUUGUUAUUGCCAAUAUUUAUUUACAUAUUGAGUAACAUUUGCAGAUUUUUGUAAUAGUUCUCGAUUAACAAUAAUUAUAUAUAUAUAAAUAAUAUAAAUUAAAUAUAUUAUAUAACACUAUUAUUUUUCUAUAUUUGUAUAAAGUUAUAAGACGAAGAUGUACAAAGACAGAUGCAUGUAAAUUUCAAUUUGUAUUAUAAUUUAGAUAACAUAAACAUUCGUGCUGUAAUAAAUAUUUUAUCUUAAAUAAUCCAUAAGUUUUCGAGCCACUCCAUAAUGACAAAUCGACAUGACAGCAGGAUUCAUUCAGUUUAAGUCUAUUUUUCCGUUAUUUUUGGACAAACUUUUUCUACAUUAUCGAUAAAAUCAAACUUAAUGUAAGCAAACGAAAAAAGAAUAAAAUGUAAAUAAAGUUAAUUACUUACGUAUAUUUUGGAUUACAUCGAAUAUACUAUUAAAUAUAUUUUCAAUUAACUGAACACGUAAAAAAGCUUUACGUUCAAAACAGCUCUUCGUCGAAGUU